AAGGAAGAAACUAGAACAAGAGAAAGAAAUCGAAAAAGGGAAAAAAGGAGAAAAGAAAAGGAAAGAAAGAGAGAAAAAAUGAAAAGAGAAGAAGAAAAAAAAGUAGGUUUUCAAGUUUGGGUCCUUCGUUCUCCAAUUUCUUCUUCAAGGUAAGCAAAAAUAUUUUCUUAUUGAAAGGGUGGUAUUUGAUUUUAGGAUUUGUGUACAAUUUCCUAUGUUCGAAUUUUAGCAAAAAUUAAAGGUUAUUAAGAUAUACUUGAGGUAUUAAGAAUAUUAUUGCAAAGAAAAACGUAUACGAAAAUAGUGGUGUUGAAGUACAAGAAAUGUGAAUUGAUAAGAGUUGAAUCUGUGAUUUAUUUUGUGCAGGGAUGGCCCCGUGAAUUUCGAGGCCCUAGGCGACUCACCAUUACAAGGCCAUUAAACAUUAAAUUUUCACAAGCAUAAAAUACUUAGAAUUUUAAAUAAAUAAUAUAAUUAUAUUUUAAAUGAAGACUUAGUACAAUCCAAAGAUAGAAUUUCAAAAAAAAUUAUCUCGACAAUUUGAGAGAUUAGGGUACCAUAAUAUUUAAUAGAAUUAUCCCAUUGGUGAAAAAAAUCAUCAGGUAGAUACUAUUUUUCAAAAUUAUUAAUUGGAAAAACUCGAGUAAAAUGCAAGUUUUAAGAAUCAUAAUUUGAAGUCCCGAGGAUACUGUAAGGAUGACUCGGUAGAGACAAGUGAUUUUUAGUCAUAAAAAGUGCAAAAUUUUGGGACUAGAUUGCAAAAUAGUGAAAAAUAUAUAUUUUUAGACGAUAAUGUGACAAGUUAGGAUUAUCUAGUGAUUAAAAACAUAGCUAGAUUCUUAUGAUUUUUAAUAAAUCUGAGAUUUUUAGGGACUAAAGUGAAAAUGAGUUUUGAGAUUAAUAAUGUAUUUUUCCUACCAAAUGUGUGUUUAUUGGAGGAUCGAGAAUUAUUCUAUUAAUAUUGGACUCAAUCCAAAACUUGUAAUAAAUACACACUAUGGACUCAUGAAAAGUUAAUUUUAUAAAUCAAAUUCAAGUUAUAACUCAUUAAAAUAAGUACUUGAUGAGUAACAUUAGCUUUUAAAUUAAACCAUGUUACCUUAACAAUAUUGGGCUCUUUUAGUAUCUCAUAAUCAAUCAUGUAUGUUAAACACGAAAAAAUUAAUUUGGAUAAGAUCAAACUAAGGUAGAAUCCGCAGAACAAAAUUGUAUUAAAGUAAAUUUUAAAUUUAUCUUUUAAAAUUAGUAAUUUAACUGGGCUUCUAUCAUGUAUUGUUUCUCAUCUUGAGGCCCCAUAUAAUUUAAGGCCCAAGGCCAUUGUCUAGUUGGCUUUGUCCUAGGGCCAGCCUUGAUUUUGUGUAUAUGAUAUAAGCAUUUGAAUUAUGAUGUACUACAGUAAGAUAUAUUUGAGGUUGGAUUUUGGUAUUUGCAACCAAUUUUCGUGCAAAAUUCAUAUACAAGGUGCUGUUUUCGAAAUUUUGUCCACAAUGUGCUGUUUUUGUCAAUGGGUUAGAGACAGUUUUCAAUAAUCAGAUAUUGGUGUCACAUUUCAAUAUUCUAGAAAUAUAGUGCUAUUUUUGUCAAUCAUGUGAUUUUCUUGCAUAUUUUAUUUUGGAAACCAAAUUAAGUGUAAAUAAUAGGGAUUAGGUGUUUAAAUAAUUUACAUAAAGGUGUAUAUGUUGUUAGUGAUUCUAAUUGGGAUUAUUGUAAAUAAAACAUACAAAGUUCCUAUUGGUAAAUUAUUAUUUCUAACGGCCGGAAAAUGCUCAAGGCACCUUUGUGAAGGGAUAUGAUUUAUUGGAAAAUACUCAAGGCAUCUGGGUAGAUGUUUAAAUUCCCAGUGAUCUUACCAAUGAAGGAAACAUGGUUGGAAGUAGUUACGUAAGGCUGAAAGAAUUAUCGCAAACCCAUUGUUUGUAUGAUAUUAGAUGUCCAAUGAGAAAGUUAAGACUUUUAGUUGUCAAAGAAAUUUAUUUAGAUAUUUUGUCUGCAUUUAUUUAAGGAAGAGAUUGAGGUCUUGAAGGUCCUUGGAGGAUUUGGAGUAAAACGUUGACUCCAAAAACACAAAGGAGUCUAUCUUAAUCGGAUUUUCGUUUUCUGAUUGAGAUUAUAUUGUUGCUCAUUGCAUUCUUUCUUCAUUGGAUGUCUCAAUAGUCACAACUGAACUUCACAUUACAGGGUUGCCUUUCUUUCUUUUCUUUUAACAUUUCAAUUUUUUGGUAUAUUCAACAGCUAAUUUCAAUAAGAGUAGUCAGAUUGUUUUUAUAUUCAUUAAAAUUUUUAAAUAUUUGUCAAAAUAUAUAUUGACGUUAUUAGAUUAAUCUAACUCCAUUUUAAUGGAUAAAACUGAGAUGUUAGAGUUCAAGAUUUCCUACGAACUUUUCUCAAGUUCUUUCACCCAUAGUUGUUUACAAAUAGUGCUACCAUUUGUCAAAUGGUACUAGUGAUCUGAAAAUGAGACAUUGAGCCCAGAAUGUAAGAAUUUUAAAAAUGAAUAUCUAUUAUAACAAUCUAAGAAUCGACCAAUAGCUAACCUUGGAAAGAAAUGUUAAUGACUAAAAACUCAGAUCUUAAGGUUGGAAAACAUUGCAAGAUAUGGUAAUGAUUCUAUAACUCCCUGAACUGCUGCUUCAGUCGUAGGAACUCUCAGUCUCGUCACUAUUCUUCUACAAGAUGGAUGAUUCAAUAGUUAUAUAGUUUCACAUAUGUUCAUUGAUUCUCUAUAACAUAAUAUUUAGGUUUUGUUCAUGAUUUUUUUAGUACUCUAAUUGACUAUGAAAAAUGCCUUUUGUAUUAUGAAUUCUCACCAAGAUACUAAUUCAUGUUAUUUAGGUUUUGUUUUUGGUAAAGAAGACUGUAGUGUUACUAGAUCAGUUUUGCACUUCAAACAACUCCAGCAUUAUUAUGGACUACACAUGUGCAAAAUGAAGGUACGAUCAUGCCUUUAUAAUAUAUAAUAAAUAUGAUUAUAUCUUUGGAUUACUGUAUUUGGGUUUGAUAAUCAAAACUAGUUCAAUCAAUCUAAAAGUACAUUGUACAUGUUUCUUGUUUCUUAAGUAUGCAAAUACCAUUAAAUAUAUUCAUACACAAAACCUCAAGUGCAUGUAAUAAAUCUUUCAUUUAUUAAUAACUAAUAUUAGUAUAAAAUACAUUUGUCUCAGGAACAAAAAGGAUUUCUUUUGUGAAGAUGUAUGCAUUGAAACCUGAAUUGCCAAAGAGAGUUAAAAAGUCCAAAUCUAAGAGGCAAGUUAAUAGACUUGACAUCAUCGUAUAAGGACCUUGUCUUUUACCAAAAUGCACUUUAUAGAGAGUUCUUUUCUAGUAUGCAUUUCCUCUUGAAAAAUUUGUGUGUUUUUUGAUUCAUUAAUGUAUUGAAUUAUGUACAUAUGCAUUCAAUUUGGGCUAUGUAAUAUUGCUUCAUUAAGUGCAUUAGGAAAAUUGUGCCAUUAUUCUAUGACAUUGUACAUGUCUCCCAUUGUUUUUCAAAAGAAUUGUGCAUCAUCCUUUUGUGCUAUUGUGGUGUGUUUGACUGUGUAAAUGUUUGUAUUAUAUCA
rnacentral:lncRNA from 1 species